GGCUGGGUAGUUUAGGUAGAAUUACGGUUUUGUAAUCCGUUGGUACUCAGUGAGUUCUAGCCA
rnacentral:tRNA from 1 species